UUUUGCUUUUCAUCGAACAAAAGAUAGCACGACAAGUGUCAUUUGCUGUUUUUCAAAUAUAUAUAUUUAUUUGCAAAAAAUAGUAGCGCAAUGGCUUAAGAGUGUAGCUGAAGCAGAUCACCAGCGGGUGGAUAUAACAUGACAUAUUUAUUGGAAAAACAGUGGAUAACUGUCUCGUUGGUUGAGUGAAUAAUGGAUUUGUAUUUUGUGGAAUACUAGCGGACAGACGUUGUGCGGUAACAUGGUUGAAGUGACAGUCAAUCGUAAACUAUGAUGAAAUAGGGUGAGAUUAGACAAAUAUGAACGCAGCUGGUUGGGUUACGAAACGCAAUUUGCAAUUUGAUUGAUAAAUGUAAAGGAAAACGAAGAAAUUGGUCAUAAUUUAAAGAUAGUAGAAGAAUUUGGUGAUAUUGAAUAGUAGAGUGGAUGUUGGAUAUUGCAUAUUAGUUAUUGUAUAAUAAACUUUGGACAAUGGCUAUUGGAUAUUGAAAUUUGGAUAUGGUGCUUUCUACAUAAAUUUACAUAACAAUUGUCAGCUCACAGAAAAUUCACAGAUUUAAAAUUGAAAUUCCAAGCAUUGCUUGCUUUCUAAACAAACAGGCCAAUUCAUAGAGCGGAAGUUGGAAAAUUUAUUGCUUUGCACUCAAACACACACACAUACAAAGAUUUAGUAUUUACUCAC